GCCAGGGAGAACUAUAAAUUCACCACAAAGCCCCUGCCCUCCUCGUCAACUAGGGUUCCAGGCACCAGCCGCCGCCGCCGCCGCGGAGCAGCUCGCGUUCGUCGUCGUUGCCGCCGUUUGCCCCUUUUCUCCUUCUCGUAGUUGUUUCGCAUCGUUUCGAUCUGCACCUUUAUUUUUCUGUUUUUCCUCUCUUGCUCAUCGAUGGCGGGGGCACGCACACCUUCCGUGCUCCGCCGCCUUCUCAAGUAGGGGAUAGAUCGACGCGUCAAGAAAUCGUUUCAGUUGCCAUGGCUCCAGUAGGCAAUAUGAUUGUUGCUUGACCACAAAGGAAGCCCCAAUGCCUGUGCUAGAUCCAGCACGCCAUUCAGUGUUGCAGGCCAUGACAAUCUUGUGAGUGGUCUGUGUCAAAGUAAUGGAUACAGAUAUUCGUAACAUCUCUUUUUUUUUGGCUGUUGCGUUUGGUUGUUGGCAGUGAUUUGACAUUACCCGCGCUUCUGAUCUAACCCGUGAAGCAAAGGGAAAAAUAAUGGUUGAAUUUCUUAAUAUGAGCCAUUUGUUCAUCAACGCAUCACCUUUCUUUGAUUGUUUAAUAGGCACCAUCUUCCUUAUUGAGCGAUCUUUUUGGCAGUGACGAUACAACUAUUCAGCUUAAAACGCCAGUUCUGCUUCUGAGAAUUCAUGACAGAUAGAGCUGAUUAAAAAUCUGAGCCUUUUUUGUCUCAUUUUUAAUAAACAGUUGUAUUCUUUUUUCUUCGACCAAAAUGCAUCCCGUUGGCCACUGAUGAAAUCGCCCAAUGUUUGGACGCUGCAAUCGGCUCCAAGUUCCUGCCUGUCAGGAAGAACCUACUUGGAGCCCUGCACUCGAAUGACAACAAUGGGCAAUGCUGAGGUCCUAGAUGCUAUGUCUGAAUGUUUUUGGUUUAUUCUUUUAGUUUCUUCUGUCUGCUGUCCAAGCUAUGGUGCUGGUUUACGUGCCGAGUUAACUAUCCUCGCGCAAGUGCUUUCUGAUUUGCCUGGAGGCUGAGAAACUCGGAUAGUGUGUGUUGUCAUCAGCUUCGUCUCUUAUUUACGGUGAGAUGGGAGUUAAAUAACAUCACUAUAUUAUUGUCAACUCCUGUGUCAUCCGUGUACUAAUUUUAUUUGCUUUCUGGUGUGAUAGUUGACCCGAGAUUUGAGUGAUGAUGAACAAUUGUGUUUUGGACUAGAGUUUCUGAUACUGCUAGAUCGUGGUGGUAGUUGAAGACCAAACCCUUGGCUGUCUGAACUCAAAUCUCGCAAAUCAGCUGUAGGGUUGUCAUCUUUAGAGUUUGGAUUAGGUUUGUGUUUAUAAUUCUUUUAGUUAGAUGCGUCCAUUACCAAUUCUGGAGGAUUAUUUCGUUUCUCUUGGUAUAAUGGCUCGGACGCGACAUGCUAUCCUUGUGGUUAUAUCCUGAUUGGUUGCGUUUUUUGUGCCAAUCCGAUCCUGGAAAGGCCACGAAAAUUUAAUCACUUUUGAAUUUGAAUUUGAUUUUUAUUAUUUGUUGAGUUUGUGGGAUCUAAAGGAUGUGAAAAUUUGAAAGGGACAACGCCUUAUCUGUUAGAUUGUGGCGUCCAUGACAAUUCUUUCAUAUUAAAUAGGAAGAUCAGAUAGAUCCCUGAAACUUUUUUUUUGUUUCUCCAGAAUUUGAGGUGUGCAUGAUGAUAACAGAAGUAAAAUACAGUUAUCCCUGUCUGAUUCCUUCAAAAGGGUGCUGAGAAUACUUUAAUCUGACAUGUUGUGUUUUCCCUUUUAUUCCGUUCUUGAUAUUAGUAUUAGUAUACGAAGUUUGUUUGAUCUUGGCCUUUGAUGACCUGAUGGUUACAGAACAGGUGAAUAUUGCUUGAUACUGUUGAUAUUUCUCAUGAACUAGGACGGUCUGAGGUUGUUUGGUCAUGCAUAUACUUUGCUGCACAUAUUUGCUUGUUGGUAUCCAUAUUGUUACUUCUCUGUUUUGACGAACAGAUUUGAAUGAGAUGGAUGUGAUGACUCGGAAAUGUUAAAGCUACAGAUCAAAUCACAUAUCCAUCUCUGUAAAUCGAGAUUAAUUUUUUAUUAAGUUUAUUUGUCAGAUUAGAUACAUCUUGUUUGUAUUGGAUUGAGGAGUUUGCGAUGAGGACAAACAAUCUCCCUCUUCUGAAGAAAUUGAGAACGCUUGCUGGCAGAAUCGAACCAAUAAACCUAUUGCCACCACUGAGUAACUAGAUAUCACAUCCAUUGUAUUUUUGUUUGAUUUGAGUUAGUGUCGUGGCCUGUGGCCGCCGACGAACUCGCCGGCGACGUGAGUUCCAGCCAGUUGACAGAGAGAUAUAACUUGGGGAAGGAGGAAAUCCAACCCGAGGAGUUCUAAUUCCAAUUUGUUUC